AGUGAACGCUGGCGGUAGACCUAACACAUGCAAGUCGAACGGCAGCACAGUAAGAGCUUGCUCUUACGGGUGGCGAGUGGCGGACGGGUGAGGAAUACAUCGGAAUCUACUUUUUCGUGGGGGAUAACGUAGGGAAACUUACGCUAAUACCGCAUACGACCUACGGGUGAAAGCAGGGGAUCUUCGGACCUUGCGCGAUUGAAUGAGCCGAUGUCGGAUUAGCUAGUUGGCGGGGUAAAGGCCCACCAAGGCGACGAUCCGUAGCUGGUCUGAGAGGAUGAUCAGCCACAUGGGAAGUGAGACACGGUCCAGACUCCUACGGGAGGCAGCAGUGGGGAAUAUUGGACAGUGGGCGCAAGCCUUAUCCAGCCAUACCGCGUGGGUGAAGAAGGCCUUCGGGUUGUAAAGCCCUUUUGUGGGGAAAGAAAAGCAGCAGGUUAAGACCCCGCUGUUCUGACGGUACCCAAAGAAUAAGCACCGGCUAACUUCGUG
rnacentral:rRNA from 1 species